GCAAAUAUAGCCUUGCAAAGUUUGCAAAUUUUCUAUACUUUUGUAUUGCAUGCGAAAAUUGCAAUACAAAAGUAUACAAAAUUUGCAAACUUUGCAAGGCUAUAUUUUCUACAUAUU
rnacentral:miRNA from 1 species